GUUAAAUUUGAUUAAGCUACAGGUUUAAUGUAGUGAUAUUUUUCCUUAUUACCAUUAACAUGUUCAACCUGAAAGACAAAUAAUAAUGAAGCAGUGAAAUACUAACUGUGUUUUCUUCAACACUGAGUUACAGACUUUUAGUGAAUUAUGAUAAAUGUUUAUAGGUGAUCAUGUUACUAUUUCAUCAGAAACAUCUAAACCAGCUCUGUGUGAUAAUUCAGUGGUGUGUGAACCAACACUGCAUGGAAACAACACUAACAUGAACACACACGAGAAAACAGGUGAUAUGUCUUAUAAUUCAAAAUUCAUUAAUUAUCCUUAAUCUGUACAGCAUUUGUACUAAUAUGAAUGUAAUGUUUUAUAAUAACUGAACCAGAAAUGAUUAGAUCUCUACAUUCGACAGUGCUCGGUUUGGGAACGUCUUUGGGUUUGUGCGCAUUUCUGAUUUUCUGCCUCAUUUAUUUCAUACUGAGAGAAGAAAAUGUGAUAAAAUAAACGCUUCUAUAGAAGAUUGUUCAGGAAUGAGGCAGGAAUCUGAAGCAGAAACACUCAAUGAUACAGCUUUGAAAUUCCCCAAGAGGAAAGCCAGAGCUGAAAAAAGGAAAACUGGCUCAUCAUAUGAGUGCGUGUAGUCCGAUUUGAAAUAUAACUUUAAAAUGUAACAUAAAUUAUUCAUAGCACAAAGAAUUCUUAUAGAAAGAAAAUAUCUUGACUAUAGACAAAUAUAUUCCAUAUUUUUACAUUUUUUUACAUUUACAUACUGUAUAUUUUUUUCUAGUAGCAAAAAAAAAGCCUAGACAUAAUCUUAUAUUUGUUUACAAUAAUCACAUAAAAAAGAAAUAUGAAAUAGGUUUGCCUAUAUUCAAGAUUUAUGUUGUUUUUCUUGCAAGUGUCUUAUUAUUAAUAUUAAAGAUGCAUUUUUGUAUGACUUCAGUGCGGCACCUGUGUUGCACUUUGUACAGAUUUCAUGGCCUCAUUUGUAUUGUUCUAACUUUUGUUGAAGACACAAGAAAUUUAAAGAGCAAUUUCAUUAAAGGCGUAACAAAUACACCAUCCUUAGAAUUAUUCUGAAAGUAAAACAGGAAUGUUUUAUUACUAGUAAAGUUUCAAAAUGCAC